CAUGGAAGAGAAAAUGUUUGUUUUUGAGCAUCACAAAGAAAGAAGCAAAUGCCAAAAAAAAAAGACAAAAAAGUGCAACUUUUUAGAUUAUCUCCAUUAAAUUACGUGAGGUAUCAAACAGAAGCCAACUAAUUCACAGAACAAAACCAUCUAGAUAGCAUAGCACGGCAGUGAUUGGGAUUCCAUUCCAAAUCAGUGCAACAAUAUUGCGAUAGUAGACGCACAGCCACCUAAUCGCUACCCAAACUUAAAUACAUCCAUACAUAUACAGUAGAUGUCAAAUGUAUUCACACCCGUAUUUUAUGGAAGGUUUUUUGAUAUAAAAGAGAUCAUGAUAAAGAAGUUCAAAACUUUUCCAACCAUAAUUUUGACCUAUAUAUAAUCUGUAGGAA